rnacentral:rRNA from 1 species
UACGUAGGGUGCGAGCGUUGUCCGGAAUUACUGGGCGUAAAGAGCUCGUAGGUGGUUUGUCGCGUUGUUCGUGAAAACCGGGGGCUUAACCCUCGGCGUGCGGGCGAUACGGGCAGACUUGAGUACUGCAGGGGAGACUGGAAUUCCUGGUGUAGCGGUGGAAUGCGCAGAUAUCAGGAGGAACACCGGUGGCGAAGGCAGGUCUCUGGGCAUUAACUGACGCUGAGGAGCGAAAGCAUGGGGAGCGAACAGG